rnacentral:rRNA from 1 species
AUUGAACGCUGGCGGCAGGCCUAACACAUGCAAGUCGAGCGAGCGGCGGACGGGUGAGUAAUGUAUGGGGAACUGCCCGAUAGAGGGGGAUAACUACUGGAAACGGUGGCUAAUACCGCAUACUAUCGGAUGAACCCAUAUGGGAUUAGCUAGUAGGUGGGGUAAAGGCUCACCAAGGCGACGAUCUCUAGCUGGUCUGCGAGGAUGAACAGCCACACUGGGACUGAGACACGGUCCAGACUCCUACGGGAGGCAGCAGUGGGGAAUAUUGCACAAGGGGAGCAAGCCUGAUGCAGCCAUGCCGCGUGUAUGAAGAAGGCCUUAGGGUUGUAAAGUACUUUCAGCGGGGAGGCGUUACCCGCAGAAGAAGCACCGGCUAACUCCGUGCCAGCAGCCGCGGUAAUAC